rnacentral:ncRNA from 1 species
AAGGUUUGGUCCCAGCCUUUCUAUUAGCUGUUUAUAAACUUACACAUGCAAGCAUCAACAAACCAGUGAGAAUGCCCUUAAAACCUUUCGCAGGAAAAAAGGAGCCGACAUCAAGCACGCAAAAUUGCAGCUAAAAACGUCUUGCCCAACCACACCCCCACGGGAUACAGCAGUGAUAAACAUUAAGCAAUGAACGAAAGUUUGACUAAGUUAUAUAAAAUUUAGGGUUGGUAAAUUUCGUGCCAGCCACCGCGGUCAUACGGUUAACCCUAGCUAAUAGGCUCAACGGUGUAAAGAGUGUAAAUUGACUCACCAAAAAUAAAUGAAGAUAAGAUAAAUUUAAGAUGUAUAAACCUCCAAAUUUACAAAAACUCAACAACGAAAGUGUCUUCAACUAUUUAUAACCUACACGAUAGCUAGAACCUAAACUGGGAUUAGAUACCCCAUUAUAUCUAGCCAUAAACAUAAAUAAUCAUUAACAAGAUUAUUCACCAGAGAACUACGGGCCACAGCCUAAAACUCAAAGGACUUGGCGGUGCUUCACAUCCACCUAGAGGAGCCUGUUCUAUAAUCGAUAAACCCCGAUCUACCUCACCAAUCCUUGCUAAUUCAGUCUAUAUACCGCCAUCUUCAGCAAACCCUAAUAAAGGUAAAAAAGUAAGCACAAUAAUUUUCCAUAAAAACGUUAGGUCAAGGUGUAACCUAUGGAUUGGGAAGUAAUGGGCUACAUUUUUUAUUUUAAAACAUAACGGAACGUCUUAAUGAAAUUUAAGAUUAAAGGAGGAUUUAGCAGUAAAUUAAGAAUAGAGAGCUUAAUUGAAUUUGGCCAUGAAGCACGUACACACCGCCCGUCACCCUCCUCAAAUGUUAAAAAGUUGAACAUAUCUUAAACCAUACUAAAUACACUAGAGGAGACAAGUCGUAACAAGGUAAGUAUACUGGAAAGUGUACUUGGAURAUA